rnacentral:rRNA from 1 species
GAUGAACGCUAGCUACAGGCUUAACACAUGCAAGUCGAGGGGUAACGAGAGGAAAGCUUGCUUUCCUUGUCGACGACCGGCGCACGGGUGAGUAACGCGUAUCCAACCUGCCCCCAACUAGGGAAUAACCUUGCGAAAGUAAGACUAAUACCCUAUAAUUUCCUCAGAUGUCAUCUGACGAGGAAUAAAGAUUUAUCGGUUGUGGAUGGGGAUGCGUCUGAUUAGCUUGUUGGCGGGGUAACGGCCACCAAGGCAACGAUCAGUAGGGGUUCUGAGAGGAAGGUCCCCCACAUUGGAACUGAGACACGGUCCAAACUCCUACGGGAGGCAGCAGUGAGGAAUAUUGGUCAAUGGGCGGAAGCCUGAACCAGCCAAGUAGCGUGCAGGAUGACGGCCCUAUGGGUUGUAAACUGCUUUUAUACAGGAAUAAAGUUAGCCACGUGUGGUUAUUUGUAGGUACUGUAUGAGUAAGGACCGGCUAAUUCCGUGCCAGCCGCCGCGGUAA